rnacentral:rRNA from 1 species
UACGGGGGGAGCAAGCGUUGUUCGGCUUUAUUGGGCGUAAAGAGCGUGUAGGCGGCUGGGUAGGUCCGUUGUGAAAACUCGAGGCUCAACCUCGAGACGCCGAUGGAAACCAUCCAGCUAGAGUCCGGAAGAGGAGAGUGGAAUUCCUGGUGUAGCGGUGAAAUGCGCAGAUAUCAGGAAGAACACCCGUGGCUAAGGCGGCUCUCUAGUACGGUACUGACGCUGAGACGCGAAAGCGUGGGGAGCGAACAGG